GAUGAACGCUGGCGGCGUGCCUAAUACAUGCAAGUCGAGCGAACGGACGAGAAGCUUGCUUCUCUGAUGUUAGCGGCGGACGGGUGAGUAACACGUGGAUAACCUACCUAUAAGACUGGGAUAACUUCGGGAAACCGGAGCUAAUACCGGAUAAUAUUUUGAACCGCAUGGUUCAAAAGUGAAAGACGGUCUUGCUGUCACUUAUAGAUGGAUCCGCGCUGCAUUAGCUAGUUGGUAAGGUAACGGCUUACCAAGGCAACGAUGCAUAGCCGACCUGAGAGGGGGAUCGGCCACACUGGAACUGAGACACGGUCCAGACUCCUACGGGAGGAAGCAGUAGGGAACCUUCCGCAAUGGGCGAAAGCCUGACGGAGCAACGCCGAGUGAGUGAUGAAGGUAUUCGGAUCGUAAAACUCUGUUAUUAGGGAAGAACAUAUGUGUAAGUAACUGUGCACAUCUUGACGGUACCUAAUCAGAAAGCCACGGCUAACUACGUG
rnacentral:rRNA from 1 species